CCUACGGGGGGCUGCAGUCGAGGAUCUUCGGCAAUGGGGGCAACCCUGACCGAGCGAUGCCGCGUGCGCGAUGAAGGCCUUCGGGUUGUAAAGCGCUUUAGUGGGGGAGAAAAGCCGAAAGGUGUGAUCUAUCCCAAAAAUAAGCUCGGGCUAAGUUCGUGCCAGCAGCCGCGGUAAGACGAACCGAGCGAACGUUGUUCGGAAUCACUGGGCUUAAAGGGCGCGUAGGCGGGCUAUCAAGUCUGGGGUGAAAUGCCGCGGCUCAACCGUGGAAC
rnacentral:rRNA from 1 species